GACGAACGCUGGCGGCGUGCUUAACACAUGCAAGUCGAACGGACCUUAUUUGGAGGAAGCUUUCGGGUAGACACUGAAUAAGGUUAGUGGCGGACGGGUGAGUAACGCGUAGAUAAUCUACCUUAAAGACUGGGACAACAGUUGGAAACGACUGCUAAUACCGGAUAAGCUAAACGGAAGGCAUCUUCUGUUUAGGAAAGGAGGCCUCUUAACAAUGCUCCCGCUUUUAGAUGAGUCUGCGUCUGAUUAGCUAGUUGGUGGGGUAACGGCUUACCAAGGCGACGAUCAGUAGUCGGCCUGAGAGGGUGACCGGCCACAUUGGGACUGAGACACGGCCCAA
rnacentral:rRNA from 1 species